rnacentral:lncRNA from 1 species
UAGGGUUGCGGCAAGGCCUGCCGCUUCCUUUCCCUGCAGCGCCCGGGAGCGUGAGCAGCGUGGAUGGCAUGGCGGGCAGCGGAGGCCCCGGGCGGCGGAACCCGGCCUGCCCUCGGCCUCAUCCAGGUGCAACAACUGUCUCUCUUGAAGGUACUUGAAUAACUUUUCUGAAAACUUGUCAUGGAAAGUGACUGAACAAGUUACCAGGACCACAGUUGCCAGUAACAAGCAUGUAGGUGGCGGGAGAUGAAUAUCCAACUUGAGUAUCUUCGGUUUGAAAACACGUUGUUUUGGGUGCAGCACAUUUUGGAAUGUAAAAUGAAGAAUUGGUCAAGAAACCGUGAACAGAGAAGCAAAUGAUGAAAAUUAGUUAAACAAGUUAUAUAGAAAUAAACAAUUCUAAGUGCUCUGGUGGUAAUUUCUU